UCAAAACACUUAAUGCAUUUUGAAGAGGACAUUUGUGACUAAAUCUGGAACUUUGCAUUUGUUUUCUUCAAUAAAGCUGAUGGACUUUAUAGAGUAACAUUAAGAAGAAGAGAGUAACAUUAAGAGAGAAACAUUAAGAGAGAGUAAUGAUAGAAUAAAAGUUAGAAUAAGAAUUUAGUAAAGUUAGAAUAAGAAUUUAGUAAAGUUAGAAUAAGAAUUUAGUAAAGUUAGAGUGAUAUUAGAAUAAUAUUAUAGUUAUAAGUAAAUACUGUGUAUUAAAUCUCUGUUUUUGGAUUUUAAUUUGCCAAAGCUGGCGUACGUGACCACUAAACUUCCUCCAACACACACACACACACACACACACACACACACACUAAUCCCGGGUUAAACGGCGUUAAUUCGCUGUAAACUCCGACACUGAGGAGAUAUUAUGAUUUCUUCCCGCGCAGUAAGUUUUACCUCAGUUUUGUCUCCACACAGAGAGUUGGCUUUGCUAACACUGCUAGCGCUGUGUUCUCAUUAUCUAGCAGCAUCACUCCACACAACUACAGCCUUAAUAACCACACCGCUUCCCCUCAAUAAAACACCCGCUCCGCUCCCACUACCGUCUCAGAAAUAACCCGGGAUCAAUUCACAGUAAACCCGGGAUCAUUUCAUAAUAAACCCGGGCUAACAGCGCGAGCUGGCUAAUAAGUUUGCAGGAUGAAAAUAGUCAAAUCCAACAAGUUUUAAUAACUAAAAUCGAUCAGAUUUAUACCGCGCCACAGAAUAAAAUCCACAUAGUAUAUUUUUAAAAUACAAAUUUCUCAGAUAAUGCACAGAUUGAUAAAAUUAAAGUAGAGGCUUUUUUUGUUUAUUUUUGUUUUUAAGAAGAAAAAUCAUUUAAAAUUUCGUUUCUCACCUCCGCCAUAUUGGCUCCUCUGAAAAGUCCCGGAUGUACCUGCCUGCGCAUGCGCAGCAUCUGGCUGUUUCUCUGAGGGCCACGGGGAACCUGGAGGCACAAGGCGGGGUGCACCCUGGACAAGGUGCCAGUCCAUCGCAGGGCACAAUCACACUCACACAUACUGAUUGGGGCUCCCCAAUCAGCCUACCAUGCAUGUCUUUGGACUGGGGGGAGGAAACCGGAGUACCCGGAGGAAAUCCCCGCAGCACAUGGAGAACAUGCAAACUCCGCGCACACACAGGGCCACGGUGGGAAUCGAACCCCCGACCCUGGAGGUGUAAGAUGAACGUGCUAACCACUAAGCCACUGUGCUCCCUGAUAACACAUCUUUAAUUAUAAGCAUGGACCAAAUCUUUUUCUUCACACUCACAUCCGACUCUGUUCUGUUCAUCAUCAGGAGUUCUGAAUCUACGUUCACUGCUGCGGUCGUAUUCAUCACCUCCUAAACACACACACACACACACAC